rnacentral:rRNA from 1 species
GACGAACGCUGGCGGCGUGCUUAACACAUGCAAGUCGAACGGAAAGGCCCUGCUUUUGUUGGGUUCUCGAUUGGCGCACGGGGGAGUAACACGUGAGUAACCUGCCCUUGACUUUGGGAUAACUUCAGGAAACUGGGGCUAAUACCGGAUAGAACCUCCUGCUGCAUGGUGUGCGUUGGAAAGUUUCGGCCGUUGUGGAUGGACUCGCGGCUUAUCAGCUUGUUUGGCGGGUAGGUGCUUACCCAGGCUUUGACGGAUAGCCGGCCUGAGAGGGUGAACGGGCACAUUGGGACUGAGAUACGGACCAGAAUCGUACGUGAGGCAGUAGUGGGGAAUAUUGCAGAACGGGCGGAAGCCUGAUGCAGAAACGCCGCGAUCGGGAUGACGGGUUUCGGGUGGUAAACAGCUUUGGAAUGAGACGAAGAGUGAGUGACGGUACUGGGUAAAGAAGCAACGGCUAACUACGUG